rnacentral:rRNA from 1 species
CCCGUCUUGAAACACGGACCAAGGAGUCUAGCAUGUGCGCGAGUCAUUGGGAACUCGUAAACCCAGAGGCGCAAUGAAAGUGAACAGCGUCGUUUUUAUAACGGCCGCAGGGAAGAUGGCGGUCGGUGAUGCAAAGAGCCGUCCUUGCCCGCAAUCCCGAGGCGUUUCGAGAAAUGCCACCGUUGCGAUUAUCGAGACGCACUGAGAGCGCACACGCUGGGACCCGAAAGAUGGUGAACUAUGCCUGGUCAGGUCGAAGUCAG